rnacentral:sRNA from 2 species
AAAAGUUUUUGUUAGGUGAGGCUCCUAUAUAGAUAUACGCUACUGCCCAGAAACAUCGAGAGAUGCCAACUUGGGUCAACAGAUAUUACCGAAUCAAGGUUUUAUCUAACGUAGCUGGAUUGUAUUCUGAUCUAAGCUAUAUAGUGCUAAAGCUCUACUGUCUAAUUUUAUU